AGUGAACGCUGGCGGUAGGCCUAACACAUGCCAGUCGAACGGCAGCACAGUAAGAGCUUGCUCUUACGGGUGGCGAGUGGCGGACGGGUGAGGAAUACAUCGGAAUCUACUUUUUCGUGGGGGAUAACGUAGGGAAACUUACGCUAAUACCGCAUACGACCUACGGGUGAAAGCAUGGGAUCUUCGGACCUUGCGCGAUUGAAUGAGCCGAUGUCGGAUUAGCUAGUUGGCGGGGUAAAGGCCCACCAAGGCCACGAUCCGUACCUGGUAUGUGAGGAUGAUCAGCCACACUGGAACUGAGACACGGUCCAGACUCCUACGGGAGGCAGCAGUGGGGAAUAUUGGACAAUGGGCGCAAGCCUGAUCCAGCCAUACCGCGUGGGUGAAGAAGGCCUUCGGGUUGUAAAGCCCUUUUGUUGGGAAAGAAAAGCAGCAGGUUAAUACCCCGCUGUUCUGACGGUACCCAAAGAAUAAGCACCGGCUAACUUCGUG
rnacentral:rRNA from 1 species